AAAAAAUCUGCAAAUCGUGUUGAUGAAGAACACGAUUGCAAGGCCACGUCCACCGUCGUGCUUGCCUCCGGUGGCUUCGUGAUUGUCACGAAUGAUGGUUCUACAAGAUCCAGCAGCUUCGUCGACGAGGGAUGCAGCUGCUCUGCGGUUUGGUGCAGAUCACCACUCUUUUUUGAUGGAGUCAAUCUCAUCGCGCUGUUGCGAGAAGCAGCCACGCCCGACGAUGAGACCCGGUCAGUGUGCGUUGUUGAGGCACGCUGUUGCCUCGCGCUCUCAUCGCGCGAUGGCUGACGGCGAGGCCUCGCAAGUCGUGGUCGAAGCGUGGACAGACAGGGAUGAUUCUGAGAUGAACAAUGUCACGCUGUGCAUAUCAAAGACCGAGAUUGUCUCGGUUUAAGGUCUCCUCACGACUCGACGGCCACCGUCGAAGCAAAUUGCCGCCUCGCGCACUUGCUGUGCGAUAGCGAAUGGCGAAGCCUCGCAUGGUGUGGCCGCUAUGCGCAGGCCGUCUCGCAUCGGUGGUCCCAUUUUUCUUCUUCUCGCGAAUCUAUCACGGGAGAGGCCACCUCGACGCCGGUGAUCUCGUCGCUACAGGCUAGCCGGCGGGAGUGCAAGAGUUGCGCGGUUACUGGCGCCUCCCGCUAGCGGCUUGUGCCGGCGAACCGGUCUGGUUGAUUGCUUGGCGGCGGCUAAGGUUCGUCUGACGGAGAAGAUGAAUUUGCAAGCCAAAAUAUGAUUUGAUGCUUGUAAAUUUUGAAAAAUUUUAAAUUGGUCAUUUGGGC
rnacentral:lncRNA from 1 species